GACCAGAGGUGGAGCUGUUGAUCAGGAUAUCGGGAGCCACCGUCUGGCAGGGGGACUGAUGCAGGCAGUUGAACUUCUAUCAGUUUCUAAACCAUACAGUCUUUGUGGUUCCAUUCUCGUAUGGAUGUGAGGUCUGUGCUCCAGCUUGUUUUUUUUUUUUUUUUCACCGCUGUGCACACUCAAAAUUAUAUCUGGCUAAAUGAUUUCAGUGGUAACGGGGCAUGCUUCGUCAAUGCAAUGAUGCAAAUGCUGGAGUGUCAUUCCAGAAGCUGCAAAACACUCACUAGCAGGGUAGAUGGGUAUGCUAACGAGCUAUCUAGCUGAACACUUUAGCGUUCAUCACAGGUUUGUUUAAUGGUGCAUUCGAGUUAAUUCUAGUGAUAUGGCACAUAGGAAACAAGGUAAGUCCAUUUCGCUUCUAACGCCAGACGUUACGUCUGCUAACAUUAGCUAACAUUAGCUGGUUUUACAAGUUUGUACUAGCUAGGUAUCCUGCGAGCAAGGCUGCUACUCACCUCGCGCAUCUCACUGUGUCAAACGCAAGUGGCAUCCUGCCCUGUCAAUCCCGCGUGUUUUUGCAAUACAUUCAUAGAUGUAUACAUCUAUUAGCUGCUGUUGUGAUGAUUUCCUCCCCCCAUUUGUCCAUUAACUCCAUUUUUAUUGGAAGCCUAUGGCAUGUACUUGACAUGGACAGCAAAGUAAAAUAAAAGUUAAAAGAUUAUAUAAAUCUUAGGCAAAUAUCUUAGCCAAUCACAACAGUGGCAGUUAAGUAAUGUUGUGAAACACUAACAUUCCACUAUUAGCGCCAAGUAUAUUAGACAUAUUUAGACAUUACUAUGCAAAACAAUAUGCGAAGCACCUUUAAGAAUCUUAGUUAACUUUGUUUCAGUAUUCCAGUCUAAGGUUCUUCAGAUGCUGUACCUUACCUACCAGGCCUGUGAAAGAAUCCAGCUCUCCACCCCUUGAGACCUGUGAAACAAAAGUAGGCCUAGAGGAGGAGGGCACGAUCACUGGAGAAAGAGACGGCGAUAUCGAGGGCGAUGGUCGGGGCCUUGUAAGGAUCUGGAGCCAAACGUGAUGAACAAAACGGAGCUAUUUCUCUUACACAAAUAAUAUUUUUGGAAAAAAUGAAUAUUUGCUAUCUAACUGAGAGUCUCGUCAUUGAAAACAUUCGAAGUUCUUCAAAGG